rnacentral:rRNA from 1 species
UGGGGAAUAUUGCACAAUGGGCGCAAGCCUGAUGCAGCCAUGCCGCGUGUGUGAAGAAGGCCUUCGGGUUGUAAAGCACUUUCAGCGAGGAGGAAGGUGGUGAGCUUAAUACGCUCAUCAAUUGACGUUACUCGCAGAAGAAGCACCGGCUAACUCCGUGCCAGCAGCCGCGGUAAUACGGAGGGUGCAAACGUUAAUCGGAAUUACUGGGCGUAAAGCGCACGCAGGCGGUUUGUUAAGUCAGAUGUGAAAUCCCCGGGCUCAACCUGGGAACUGCAUUUGAAACUGGCAAGCUAGAGUCUCGUAGAGGGGGGUAGAAUUCCAGGUGUAGCGGUGAAAUGCGUAGAGAUCUGGAGGAAUACCGGUGGCGAAGGCGGCCCCCUGGACGAAGACUGACGCUCAGGUGCGAAAGCGUGGGGCAGCAAACAGGAUUAGAUACCCUGGUAGUCCACGCUGUAAACGAUGUCGAUUUGGAGGUUGUGCCCUUGAGGCGUGGCUUCCGGAGCUAACGCGUUAAAGUCGACCGCCUGGGGAGUACGGCCGCAAGGUUAAAAC